AAAAGUAACAACAUAAGCCUAAGAGCAAAAUCCACCGUCGGUCCUUGAACUUGGCUGGCGGUGUCAUCUAGGUCCCUAAACUUCUAAAGUGAUAUUUGUGAGUCUGUAAACUUGGCAGACUGUGUCAUUUAGAUCUCUGAACUUUCAAGGUAAUCACCACAUGUUCCUAAACUUGGCCAGUGAUGUCAUUCUAGUCCUUAAACUUUCAAAGUGAUCACCACAGGUCUCUAAACUUAGCAAGCGGUAUCAUCCCUAUCCAAACAUAGUCUAACCUACUCUAUAUAAGCUAACGUGAAUCCAACAUGUGUCAAUUAAUCAAUCAUUAUUUAUCUCAUAUUUAUCAGGAAAAUAUAAAUUAUAUAAAAUAAUUUACAUCAAUAAAAACAAAUUAAAGUAUUAAACUAAUUUACAAUAACAAAUAUAUUAGCUUUAAACUAAAGUAUAAAAAUAGUAAAAUUAAUUAAAUAUUUGUGUAUCAUUGAUAGUAUUACAAAAUAAUAUUAAAAUUCCUAUAGUAUUAAAAGUUUUCUCUAUUAAAAGUUACUUCUAAUAUUAGUAUUAUUUUAAAACUUUCAAUAAUGUUAUUAUAUAAGUAACAUUUAAUAGUAGUAUUAUAGUAUUAAAACUUUAAUAGUAGUAUUAUGGUAUUAAAAUAUUUAAUAAUAUUGUGAUAGUAUUAAUAACAGAGAAAAGUUAACCUUUAAUAGUAGUAUUAUAGUAUUAAAACUUUUAAUAGUAGUAUUAUGGUAUUAAAAUAUUUAAUAAUAAUGUGAUAAUAUUAAUAACAGAGAAAAGUUACUUUUAUAAUAACACUAUUAAAAUUUUAAAAAUAAUACUAAAAUUAGAAGUAACUUUUAAUAGAGAAAACUUUUAAUAUUAUAUAUAGGAAUUUUAAUAUUAUUUUGUAAUACUAUCAAUGAUAUAUAAAUAUUUAAUUAAUUUUACUAUUUUUAUACUUCAAUUUAAACCUAAUAUAUUUGUUGGUUUAAAUUAUUUUAACACUUUAAUUUAUUUUUUGUUGAUAUAAAUUAAUUUAUAUAAUUUAUAUUUUCAUGAUAAAUAUUAGAUAAAUAAUGCUUGAUUAAUUUACACAUAACAACUUAUAGAGUAGGUUAGACCAUAUUUGGAUAAGGAUGAUACCGCUUGCCAAGUUUAGGGACCUGCAGUCAUCACCUUGAAAGUUCAGGGACUGGAAUGACACCACCGGCCAAGUUUAGGGACAUGUGGUGAUUACCUUGAAAGUUCAAGGAUCUAAAUGACACAGUCUGUCAAGUUUACAGACUCACAAAUAUCACUUUAGAAGUUUAGGGACCUAGAUGACACCGCCAGCCAAGUUCAAGGACCGGCGGUGGAUUUUGCUCUAAGCCUAAUUUCAGCGAAGCAAACAGUUGCACAGCACUGGCCGGCGAUGCCUACGUUCAUUGCUGAACAAGCGAUCAUUCGAUCGCGAGGGCCCGGGCUUGCCUUGUUGCGGCCAUUCGAAGACGUCGCCGGAGUUGCAGCCGCGGAUGAGCCAGUCCCGCCGCAUGCCGUUCUUCCCCGACGAGCCCACCCAGGUGUCGAUGUCCAGCACCUCUCCCCCUGAAACAACGGGACAGGUGGACAAAAGCCUGUGUGUCAUGAUCAGACGUGCGCCGACAGGCCGGCCGGCCUCGCUCGUCUCCGCCGGCGAACAGGAUCGGACGAUCGAACGAGACGCAAUGGGUCCGUGAAUUUACCAGAUCGGGUACUAGUCGACUUAGACGUGCAUCCUGGAGACGACCCAGACGCAGCCGUCCACCGCGCACGACGGGCACUGCGCCCCGGCGGCGCCACCAGGGCCCGAGCGCGGGCGCUUCAUCGGGCUCGCGGACGGCGCGGAUGGCGCAGCCGUUGCAGUUGCAGCCGCCGCAGGCUCCUUCGUCCCGUCGGCCACCGCCCCGAACUCGCCCGAGCCCGCCGAGCUUGAGGUCGACGGAGCACUCCGCCCGGCUCGGCGCCCCGCGCGUGGCCGCCGCGUGGGGAGUCGCAGCAGCUGCUGCGGCGGCAAUGCCCGACGCCGCCGCGGGGGAAGCCGCGGCUGCUGUGGCGGUGAAGGGCGGCGGCUGUGGCACGGCGGCGUCGUCGGGCAGAUCCCAGGACACCGACAUCUUGAGAUCCCAAUCCAUGAAUGAAACGCCGCGCGAGCCCAAGCUCUGCUCCACCACCGUUCCCGGUCAGCGAGGGCAGUGCCCCGUGCCCGUGCCCGAGCUGGAGGUGCUCGGCCCCACCCUGGUCCCUGACUCAAGACUCAUGGUGUAAAGGCAAGAAGGACAUUGUGCUAUCAGACCCACAUGUCAGAUCCCUUAAACGAAAGAAAACGAACGGAAUAGGGACGGAAUGGCACACGGGUAUAGCCGAAGAUGAAGUUGGACACAGCGGUGCGAAACAACUUUUUAGUGGCCUCAUAGUUUGGUCAAUCUUUUAUAAUGGCAUACAGGUAAAAGCCUCUCCUCAUUUCUCUCUCAUCUAUGCAAAAAGUAGUUAGUAAAGCUAUUUUAUCGAACACUUUUUUCAAAAUAGUUUAGCUUCAUCUAGUAAGUUGCUCAUGAAAUUAUUUUCUAUAAAAAUAACUUUACUAGUGAAGUUAACCUCUGACAAAGAGGCGUUAAUGUUUCGCCGUGCCGGCUCCUAAAAUCAUUGUAACCUUUAUUCUUAUUUUACUCAUCACCAUAAAAAUAAAAAGAAAUUGACUUCCGGCCUCCUUCCGUGGCUUCAUGGAACAGCGAGAGCUUCCACGUCGCGGCAAGAAGAUGACAUACGCCAGGUCACACCGCAUAUAUGCAUGCAUUUGCUCUGCGCUGUGAAUACUGCCGUGAUGACGGCAAGAUACGGGCAUGGCCGGUCUGAAGCCAAAUAACUUUCAAAGCUCGAAGGAGAGAGCACGCAAGUGUGGUCACUCUACCUCUCUGGCAGACUGCAGACAUGUUCAGCCUCCAACACGUCCAGGUGCAUGCAUUCAGUAUUAUUGGCGACAGUCCCCAAUAUAACUAUCUAAAAUAGAAUAAAAUAGGAUAGUAUAUCGGAGUAACUUUUUUUUUUGGAAACACGGAGUAACUUAAUAUCACUCCCUAGAUUUAUAUAGGGGAUGUUGCAGCGGUAUUCCAAUAUAUCUCCCUUAGGUCUUGUUUAGUUUUUUUAAAAAAAUUACAUUUUCUGUCACAUCAAAUCUUGCGAGACAUGCAUAGAGCACUAAAUAUAGAUUAAAAAUAACUAAUUACAUAGUUUGCCUGUAGUUUGCGAUACGAAUCUUUUGAGGCUAGUUAAUCCAUGAUUAGAUAAUAUUUACCAAAUACAAACAAAAGUGUUAUAGUACCUAAAACCAAAAUUUUUCACUAACUGAACAAGGCCUUAAUACCUAUGUGAAAGGUGUGUUCUACCAGAGUGCAAGAGAAAAUAUAACUAACAAGUGGUAGUUGAGAUGGUCUCCAUGAUAUUGGGAGAGCUAUGAGGGAUGAGAAAAAUAUUGGUGGCCACCAAAAAAAGAGAGAUAUUUAGGAAUUGCUGGAGAAAAAAAGUAGCACAUCUCUUGUGAUAUGACAGUUUUAUGAGGAUGAGAAGUGAUAUUGGAAGACCGCUGAAAGAUGCUCUUAGAGCAUCUCCAAGAGACUAGGUAAAAUUAUAUUCUAAACUACAAGAUUUAGCCAUUGUGUAAAAUAAAAAACUCACUCAAAGCAUAGAGUUCCACAACAGUCUUUGUAUAUGAUAGCUAGUGAGGACGACAUACUAUAUAUAACAAGCGAAAGUUUAGAAAUAGCAAACUUUCUAUUUUAGCAAACCAAAUAGCACAUUUAUUGGACUUUAAUUUUUGUAUUGAAAAUGUAAAAAUAGCCUAGAUAAUAUGCACAGCAUAUCUGUUGAAGUUGCUGCCAUGCUGUUGUAAGAAAAAGGAGCGAUACUGCUGUAAAAAAGGAGCGCUACACACUAGGACCAGCAAAGUCCCAAACCGAGGGACUACAUGACUUUUAGUUUGAGGGUGCUUUGGGCAAGGACUACAUGAUUUUUUAGUUCUAGGGUGCUUUCCGCAUCAUGAAUCGUUUUUUAUUCUUUCAAAUAUGGGUAGAAUCAGAGCUAAAAUGAGCCAACAAAUUGUUCUUCCUCUACAAACCUGAAACGGUGAAAGCAUAAUUUCACGGUGAUUGUGAUUCGUCCUUCUCACAUCAUUUUUUUUUUCAGUUAAUCCAUUUUAAGUGCAACAACUUAAAAUGUGAUUAAAUUUAAAUUGUUCUUUACCCAUAAAUAAAAAACAUCGUUGCUAGGAUUUGGAAUGAAAUUGAGUGAAGAUGAUGUUUGUGAAUAGCUUGCAAUUAAGCAGUUGGAAGUUAGUGGGAUGAUAUGAUUAUUAGUGGGAGAUGAUUUGUUGGAUAGUUAAUGCUGAAUGAUAUUGAUGGCUUGUAUGUUAAGAUAAAUAAAAAAAUAUUAUCUCCGUAUAGAAUUUAGAAGUCGUUUAGGACAGUGACACGAUCUACAAAACACAACUUUGACCUCUUAUUUUUAUAAAAAUAUUUAGGAAAAAAAUAUAUGUAUACUUUUAUGAAAGUAUUUUUCAAGGCAAAUCUAUUCGUAUAAUUUUUACAUUUGCAAACUCUACAAUUGAAAAGUUAUUGAUGAUGAUUUAUAUUUUCAAUAUUUGACUCAAAUUUAUACAAAACGACUUCUAGAUCUUACAGAAAGGGAGUAUAGAUUUCUGAGUCAUAAAUUCAUUUUCAGAUUGUCCAUAUUCUCAAUCCGCCGGUUUUUUUCUCCAUACUUUCAUUUAUAUGGCUUUGUUCGUUUGCUGGUCGUUAUCCUCCCACAAUCACGGGCACGUUCAAUCGUUCAUAAUAAGGUCCCACAAGCUUUAGAAAGAAAGCUAAUGAAGCAAAGCAACCGUUCAGGACAACUCUAUUUUCAUGUCAAAAUAAGGACAAAAAUAGCAACCCGAAUAAACAAGCUAAGAAAAUACACGUCACUCCGGCUGGACGUGGGAGACCGGCUUCGUUUAUAGGCACAUGUCAAACCCAAAGAUUUGACCAGUUUUCAGAGCUCCAUGAGAAAAUUGAUCAGUGCACACCAAACUGUACCUAGUAUUGAUUAAGCAACUCUGAUGUUACAAUUAAUCAGUCAGUAGCAGUCUUGCAAGGCCAACAGGGAUCAACAUGCCACUCCUCCCUAAUAAGGCAUUGUGUAGUUCUCCACCCAAAAACUUUUGAUCCAUCACAUCAAAUAUUUGGAUACAUGUUUGGAGCAUUAAAUAUAGACAAAAAAACUAUUUGCACAGUUUGAUUGUAAAUCAAAAGACGAAUCUUUUAAGUCUAAUUAAUCCAUAAUUAGCCAUAACUGCUAUAGUAACUCAUAUAUGCUAAUGAUGAAUUAAUUAGUCUUAAUAAAUUCGUCUCCUAGUUUUUAGGCGAGCUAUGUAAUUUGUUUUUUAUUAGUCUACUUUAAUACUUUAAAUGUGUGCCAACAUAUCUGAUGUGACACCUAAAAAAAUUCUUUUCAUGAACGAAACAAGGCUUAAGGUUGCACGAUACCUGUCUAACACACUUAUGAUGCAUCCUAUUAUAAGUUUUGUACUUGCAUAAAGGCAAAAUAAUCAUUUUGGUCCCUUAAUUAUUAUUUGAGGCUCAAUUUCACUCUUGAACUUUCAAAACGGUCGUUGUAGUCCUCAGACUCUAGUUUUAGGCUUUUCAUCCUAGAACUAUGAAGAUGAUCAUUUCAGUCCUCAUACUUUGUAUUUUGGGUUUUAAUUAUAAACUAUCAAAGUUUAUUUGGUUCUUUAAACUUUUAUUUUCAACUCAACUUUUGUCUAUGUUUCUACGUAAAACGUUGCGCUGUUGCACCUGGUUAGCUCCAAUACCACCAGUGACUGGAGAUAGAAAAAUAAUAUUCAUCCAAAAACUCUUUUGUAGGCAUUAAUAAUUCCAAGCUAUUAUUUUUAGUAUUACCUUAUAAUGAUACCAUUUAUAUAUAUCCGACUAAAUGGUAUUUGUGGGAGCAGUUACUUAUUCUUUAAAAAUACAUGGAUAUAUUGAAACAGUAACAUAGCUUGCCUGAAAAAUAUAAAGUUUUUUAAUAGACAAAAUUGAGUUGAAAAUAAAAAGUUAAAUGCACUAUGAUAGUUUGUGGAUGAAAUUGAGCCCAAAAUACAAAAAAUGAGGAUUGAAACGAUCAAUCUUCAUAGUUGCAGGAUGAAAUUGAACAUAAAACUAAAGUUUGAUAAUUAAAACAACCAUUUUAAAAAUUUAGGGAUGAAAUUAAGCCUCAAUAAUAGUUAAAGCACCAAAAUGGCUAUUGUGCCUUGCAUAAACAAAGGUAAACUCAUCAAAGCUCCUACUUAAGUUUCUGAUGUCGCAAAGGAUCACAUUGACUGCAGAAAGUUGUUCAUUCAGUCAUUCCCAUAGCUUCACCAUGCCCAUGUAGUCGGUCUCCACGUAAAUCUUAGGCGACACUAUACAUUGCCUUGCUAACAGCAGACCCUCCCGACAUGGCAACGCCUCAAUCAACAUAGCAUCGGCCGGAGCACCUCGCAUGCCAGUGCCACCAAUUGUACCUACAGUAGAGCAAGCAUGUCGUGAUGCACUAAGAAUAGGAUGCUUUAGCAUGAGUGUUUCAAAUGUCAGUUUAACUUCAAAAUGUAUUACUCUUGGUUCAAUUUGGGUCAAACCAUCAUUGUAUACCUUCGUGACUGUGCUCAAAUAAAUCUUGAACAUGCAAGUUCAUCAAUGCUCAGUUCGGUACGCAGAAAUCGUGACUGCUGCCGAUUUCAACAGUGGUAAUUAAAUCGCAAUAUUCCUACCUGUCAGACACUGCCACACUGGACAGGCCAUAAACCUUUCUUUCUUUGGUAAAUCUAGCAAUUACGAACACAAGCUACUACUCCUAAAAUACACCCGUCACUACGUCAGUCAAAAACGAGCGCGUGCUCUCCGGCCCCACCCCGUCAUUCCAGAAUCUAUUUCAGCCAAUGAAUGGGCUUGGACCGAGCAGAGCACUGCACGGUCUCUCCGUUCCACUUCCAUUCCAUUCUCCCGUGCGCGCGCGCCAUCACCGCCGUCGCCAUGGCGUCGCCGCCGCCCAAGACUACCAAGAAGCACCACGCCCGUCUCAACAACCCGUUCCCGCGCGCCGUCCCGACGGCCGCCAUCCGCGACGGCGACGCCGCGCCGCGCCUCUCGUUCGCGACGACCUCCAACUCCAAGCUCGCCCACGCGCACGACUUCCCCGUGGGGGCCCGGUUCCGCCUCCGCUGGGACCCGUCCCGCGGCGGCGAGGUCUCUCUGUCCAGGGUUUCUCCUCCGCCAGCUCCAGGCGACGGCGACGGCGCGGUGGCGCGGCGCGCGAUGUGGGAGACCGUCCCCGGCGUGGCGUUCCUCUCCGCGGCCUCCGCCGCCACCGAGGCCGACGAGUGCCGCGGCUCCUUCGCGCUCCGCGACGGCCGCGCCCGCCUCGUCCCCGAUCGCCAGCACGUCGACAAGAUCAGGGCUUUCUACCGCUGCGACGCCGCCGAGGCAGGCCCAGGCGGCGCCGACCUGCUGCGCGCCGCCGCGUUCGAGCCGUCCGACGCGACGCGGUUCCCGGUGCUGGUAAUGACCGGGCUCGUGUCCGCCAAGAAGGCGGGAGGCGCGUCGCCGUCGUGCACCUGCUGCGGGCUGCGCGCAGCAGGUCGCCGCGCCCGGAGCGCGGCGGCGGUAGGGAGGCCGGUCCUCUCGGCGCGGUACUGGAUCGUUCUCGAGGAGAAGAGCGACACGCAGGUCGCGUUCAGCGUCAAGAUCGGCGACUACCAAUGGACCUGCACGCACGCUGACCCUGCCAAGCCGACCCCGGCGACCACGACGACGGCCCCGAGGCUCCACCGGCCCAGCCUGCGCCUUCGUCUGUCGGGGCGCGUCCAGCGAGGCACGAGCAAGAAGACGACGAGGCUGGCCCCGACGACCCCGAGCCGCGACGAGGAGGAGGCGUCGGCGGCGCUCCUGCCAGCGGCCGAGAGGCCGGAGGAGUUCAACCGCGUGUUCCUGACGUACGCGAGCAGCCGCGACGAGCGGUUCUUCGGGUUCGGCGAGCAGUUCAGCCGCGUGGAGUUCAAGGGGAAGCGGGUGCCGGUGCUGGUGCAGGAGCAGGGGAUCGGCAGGGGAGACCAGCCCAUCACUUUUGCCGCCAACCUCGUCAGUUACAGGUGUGGUGAUUCUUUUCUUUUUUUUUUCCACGGCUCGUUAUACAGCUGCUUACCACACCAAACAUUUGAAAAAGUCAAGUAGAGCAUUUCUUCUUAGUCUUAUUUAUUGGAGGAGAUAAAGAAAUUUCAAUUUUUUGACUGUCAAUUUUGUUUUUUUUUGGGACUGGAAAUUUCAAAUUUAAGAUGAGUUGGUAGUACUUGUGGAUUUACCACCAGAUGUUGGAUGCGUUGGACUUGUGCAUGUAGUCAGCGAAAAUAUCCACGCAAUUUCUAGCAGCCGUUUUCGCAAAGAAGGCGCUUUCUGAUCUGGUGACGCCAUUACUUCCCGAUAUAGGAUAGCUUUCGUUGUUGAUGCAUGCAUGGAUCAGCCUUGUUUAGUUUCCAAAAAUUUUGCAAAAUUUUUCAGAUUCUUCAUCACAUCGAAUCUUUAGAUGCAUGCAUAGAGUAUUAAAUAUAGACAAAAAUAAAAACUAAUUGCAUAGUUUGGUCUGAAUUGAUGAGAUGAAUCUUUUGAACCUAGUUAGUCCAUGAUUUAUCACAAACAAACGAAAUUGCUACAGUAUCUGUUUUGCAAAAUUUUUUGGAAGUAAACAAGGCCUUGUGCCUACUGCCUGGAUCAGCCUGGCGGCAAGGGCAGACGACAUGUCUGACCGAUUGAGCUUAUCCUGUUAUCUUGGUCUUGCCACUUUAUUGCAGCCAUUGAUGAACCUCAAACGUACAAGGAUUUACUGUAUGGUCCAAGACAAAACUAUGAUUUUUUUUUAUUUGAAGCUUUUAGUGUGAAGUAGAAACUCAUCGCAUCGACAACGAUCGUGGUGUCUGCUUGCCCCAGUUUCUUGUGCGUGUGUGCUUGGGAUUCUUGUGCGUGAGUACUUGUCUACACGAAGGGAAAACGUGAGGAAAGAAAGGUCCUCUUUUCGUUUCCGAUUUCGGCCUUGUUUAGGCUUGUUUAGUUCACUCCAAAAAUCAAAAAAUUUUCAAGAUUUCCAGUCACAUCGAAUCUUGCGGCACAUACAUGGAGCAUUAAAUAUAGAUGAAAACAAAAACUAAUUGCACAGUUUGUCUGUAAAUCGCGAGACGAAUCUUUUAAGCCUAGUUGCUUUAUGAUUCGACAAUGUUCGUCAAAUAAAAACGAAAGUGCUACAGCAUGAGAAUCUAAAUUUUUUUCGGAUCUAAACAAGGCCUUCCCCGCCUAGAAAACUUUUCAUUUAUCACAUCGAAUUUUUGGACACAUACAUGGAGCAUUAAAUAUAUACGAAAACAAAAACUAAUUGCACAGUUUGGUUGUAAAUCGCGAGACGAAUCUUUUAAACCUAAUUAGCCCAUGAUUAGCCAUAACUGCUACAGACCCACAUGUGCUAAUGACGGAUUAAUUAGGCUUAAUAAAUUCGUCUAGCAGUUUUCAGACGAACUAUGUAAUUUGUUUUUUUAUUAGUAUCCAAAUAAUCUUUCCAAUAUCUUAUGAAACAUUCGAUAUGAUACAAAAAAAACUUUUCACUCACCAACUAAGGCCUUGUUUAGAUCCAAAAACUUUUUGGAUUUUAGCACUGUAGCACUUUCGUUUUUAUUUGACAAACAUUAUCUAAUCAUGGAGCAACUAGGUUUAAAAGAUUGGUCUCGUGAUUUACAAAUAAACUGUGCAAUUAGUUAUCUUUUUUAUCUAUAUUUAUUGUUUCAUACAUAUACCGUAAAAUUCGAUGUGAUGGGGAAUCUUAUAAAGUUUUGGGUUUUUUUUUGUAUCUAUACAAGGCCUAAACAACGCUGAAAGCGCACCAGUGCGGUUGUGUGAUUCUCAAGGCUAGAAUGCCACAUUUCUGUGAUGUACAGUAGGAUUCAUUUCAACUGGUGCCAACUUUUUGUUUGACUUUAUUUGGAGCUGAUUAGUGUGUCCUUGCUGCUGGUUUUCUGUAGGUCAGGAGGUAACUGGAGCACGACAUAUGCUCCCUCUCCUUUCUACAUGACCUCAAAGAUGAGAUCUUUGUACCUUGAAGGAUACGACUACUCCAUCUUUGACCUGACGAGACCUGACAGAGUGCAAAUUCAGGUAGGCCGCCGUUUCAACAUGACAACGAAUCUACAAUGUGCAGUUGAGGAGGUUCAUCCAGCACUUCCACUCUUGAUUUUUUCUUCUUCUUCUUCUUCAGAUUUAUGGCAAUUCAGUCCAGGGACGGAUACUAGACGGCGACUCACCGACGGAGCUGCUCACCAGCUACACGGCGUCCACCGGACGGCCGCCGGUUCUUCCCAGGUGGAUCACGUCCGGUGCCGUCGUCGGCAUGCAGGGUGGCACAGACACUGUCCGCAGAGUUUGGGACCAGCUCAAGGACUACGACGUCCCAGUCUCUGCAUUCUGGCUACAGGUCUGAUGUGAAACUGACGCCUGACGGUUCAUCAUGUUCUUCCUGACGCACCAUGAACUGGCUCUGAGCUGCUGGCUGGUCUCUGCAGGAUUGGGUUGGCCAGAGGAAGACGAAGAUCGGAUCGCAGCUCUGGUGGAACUGGGAGCUUGAUGACGCCCAUUACAGUGGAUGGAAGGAUCUUGUAGCUGACCUUCGCAGCCACGGCAUUAGGACCAUGACUUACUGCAACCCUUGCCUUGUGCCGGUACGUUCGUUCGUUCACCGAUCAUUCCAAAGAGGGUUCAGGGUAGUGUGCAAGGUGUUCUGAAUUUUGUCUGAAAAACGCCUGCCUGUUCUUUGUUCAGAUGGAUGAGAAGCCCAACACGAAGAGGCACCUGUUCGAGGAAGCCAAGAAGCUGGGCAUCCUGGUGAGGGACGAGGCCGGCGAGCCGUACAUGAUGCCCAACACGGCGUUCGACGUCGCGAUGCUCGACUUCACCAACCCGGAGGCGCACGCCUGGUUCAAGAGCGUCGUCCUGCGGGGGAUCGUGGACCACGGCGUCAGCGGCUGGAUGGCCGACUUCGGCGAGGGCCUGCCUCUGGACGCGCGGCUGCACUCCGGCGAGCACCCCGUCGCCGCGCACAACCGGUACCCGGAGCUGUGGGCGCGCGUCAACCGCGAGUUCGCCGACGAGUGGAAAGCCCGCCGCCGUCGCGCCGCGGAGACGGCGGCGGAGGUCGACGACGACGGCGACGGCCUUGUGUUCUUCGUGCGGUCGGGGUUCCGGGAGAGCUCCCGGUGGGCGAUGCUGUUCUGGGAGGGCGACCAGAUGGUGAGCUGGCAGGCGAACGACGGCAUCAAGAGCAGCGUGGUGGGCCUGCUGAGCGGCGGCCUCUCGGGGUUCCCGCUCAACCACAGCGACGCCGGCGGCUACUGCACGGUGGACCUGCCGCCGUUCCUGCGGUACCGCCGCAGCGAGGAGCUCCUGCUGCGCUGGAUGGAGGUGAACGCCUUCACCGUCGUGUUCCGCACCCACGAGGGCAACAGGCCGGGCUCCAACUGCCAGUUCUACUCCAGCGCCCGGACGCUGGCCCACUUCGCGCGCUGCGCCAAGAUGUACAGGGCAUGGGAGUUCUACCGCGCGCGGCUCGUCGGCGAGGCCGCGCGGACGGGGCUCCCCGUGGCGCGCCACCUGUUCCUGCACUACCCGGCGGACGAGCGCGUGCAGGCGCUCACGUACCAGCAGUUCCUCGUCGGGACGGAGAUGCUGGUGGUGCCGGUGCUGGACAAGGGGCGGACCGCGGUCACCGCCUACUUCCCGGCCGGCGGCGGGGCGUGGAGGCACGUGUGGAGCGGCGACGAGUACGGAGCUGGGGUGCAUGGCGGGGUCGAGGCACAGGUGGAGGCCCGGAUCGGGUACCCGGCCGUAUUCGUCAGGUCUGGGUCGCCUGUCGGGGAAAGAUUUGUAAGCAACUUGAGAGAUCUCAAGGUCUUGUAAUUUGGGUCAACUGUACAGUGGUAGUAGAUUGCUAGCUUGUUCACAUUUCAGAGGGAAAAGUGGAUGUAAUUCAGGGUGGUUUCGGAUGGAAAAAAAAACUUGGGUUGCUUAUCAUUAUGUUUGUUGCAAGUUGAAAAAUCAUGUAAUUUCUAACUGGAAGAUGGUGAGUCUUAUCAGGGGCAUCCUCAGGCUGUGCGAUGGAACUGGACCCCCAAAUCAGUGUCUACGAUCGUGAGUUAGGCCUUGUUUACUUCCACCUAAAAAUCCACAAUUUUUCAAGAUUCCCCGUCACAUCGAAUCUUUAGACGCAUACAUAGAGUAUGAAAUAUAGAGAAAAAUAAAAACUAAUUGCACAGUUUAGUCGAAAUUGACGAGAUAAAUCUUUUAAGCCUAGUUAGUUCAUGGUUAGACAAUAAUUACCAUAAACAAACGAAGGUACUACAAUGUCGCGAAAUUUUUUUCUUCGGAAACUAAACAAGGCCUUAGUAAAGUAUGUGGCCGGUAAUUCUUCUUCAUGUAAGUUCGUAACCCUUUGUGAGUUUGUGGCUUUGUCGCUUGGACUUAUUCCUUACCCUUGCCGUAGCUUGUCGCUUCAGAGUUGAGACCUAGUCGCAAUUCCAGUCGGCUGGACCCAGAUCGGGACACCAGACGAAGAUCAUUGUCCGAUAUAAAUUCCAUAUCCAGCUCCUAUUUUAUUUAGUUAAUAUUUUAUUACAUUGUUUUGUAAUGUAUUGAUAUUUGUCAUUAUCUUUUUUUAUAAUAAAUGCUAGGUCUUUACUUGUUGUUUUGAACUGGGUCUCAUAUUUUUUCCCACGACUUGCCUGGUCUUAUUAGUCUCCUACUCGCUAAAUCAACAUCUUGCCUUUCAUUAUCGACAUACAAUUUGUAGAGAUCUUAGGUUGCUACCAACCAUUUGCAAAGUUGGGCUACUUUCCCUUUAGAAAUCUUCACUAGAUUGGGCCCAAAUAAAUUGCGCCCUCCUACUUCUGACAAAUUCAAUGGAGCUCGACAUAUUCAUGCUUACUUAAUAUCUAUUUUUGUAAGAAAAUUCAACGAAAGGCAAACAUAUGCCCAGCUUCUACUAUAUAUACACGAUAGCACAAGCUCUAAGUAUGUCUUCUAAGAGUUGGUUGACACUUUUAGUAUGUCAACGAUGAGAAUUGUGCCCAUUGUUCCGUGCAAAGCUCUUAAAUUGAGGACCAUGAUUUGACACUAUUGUCUUGGAUACUCGGUGCAAACACACAAUCUUGUUCAAUACAUAUUGGGCAAAUAAGUAGUUGGUCUUCACAGGAAGAAAGUGAGCUAGUUUAGUGAAAUAUAAUGGUCUACAAUAACCCAAAUUGAAUUGUAUCCUGAAGAUGUUCUUGGUAAUCCAGUUAUGAAGUCUAUGGAUAUAUGUUCUCAUUUCCAUUCCAUAAUUGGCAAUGGUUGGAGAGUUCUGGUCAGGCCUUGUUUACUUCCACCCCCAAAAUGCAAAAUUUUUCAAGAUUUUCUAUCACAUCGAAUCUUUAGACACAUACAUGAAGCAUUAAAUAUAAAAGAAAAUAAAAACUAAUUGCACAGUUUGGUCGAAAUGUACGAGACGAAUCUUUUGAGCCUAGUUAGUCCACCAUAAACAAACGAAAGUGCUACAGUGUCACAAAAUUUUUCUCUUCACCAACUAAACACGGCCUCAGCUUAAGAUGUUCAUGCUUCACCGUAUAGUACCUAUCACAUCUCUAGCAAGGUGGGGGUUGGUGCAACUAAAUUUCCCUUCAAUGCAGUUGAAACAGACAACUGGGACAUUACCUCGUCACUCCUAAGCUACGUCCUUACCUCCCAAACAUGUAAUAUUGAAGAAAUUCAGAUAUAAACAAGAUCAGUAUAUAAAAUGUUCCUUGUCAAAUUGGCUUAUUGGAAAUCCACCUCUUGUGAAUAUGGCGAAGCAUCUCUCGGGCUGGUAUUGAGGUGCAAUGUGUCCUCCACCCUGGAAUUAAAAUUAUUAGCUAUAAUGCAUUAUUGUGAUGUUACUAUUCUUCAGUUUAGCACAGUAAGCGGUCAUGUUUUCUUCCUAUCGCAUCUCAUUCAUAUAUAUUUUUGAAUCUAUAGUCCAACUGAAGGUUCCGUUUCAUAUUUCCCAUGCAAACUUCUUUGCGCACAUAUUGGCGGGCCACAACCAGCCGUGGGGCGGUGCCAGCGGGCGAAUCAGCCAGGGUGGCGGAUGGAAAUCUAGCCACGUGAGGGAAGUCAUGUGUCCUCUGGUGUCACGAAGGAGAAGAGAAUAUUUCUCGUUUUUUUCAUUUUAUUUUUUUUGGUGGAACCAUGCAUGAAUCUAGAUGCUAACGCUCCAGUUUAAUUAAUUAUAGGUAGAGCUAAUCAAACGACCAAAAGUCGAUUAACAGGUAACCUAAAAUUCAUAUCUAUUGAUAUUUGGUAAGUGCAACUAAAAAUAGAAAGAAUUUCGCAAGCACGCAGAAUGUAUCAAUAUAGCAUUUUAACCGGGAGUAAUUUAGGUAUCAUUAUUUAUUUUUUUACCACUGGAAAGAGAAUGCUUUGGAUAUAAUGAGCUAUGAGUCACCACAUGUUGGUAAAAGAUGAGUUUAACCAUGUCUUUAUCUACUUCUCGUGUAGGGUAAGUGUCACAUAAUAAUAUAUAAAUAUGAAUGAGAAGUGACAAAAGAUAAAUGAGAGCACAUAGCCACAUAAAAUAAUGAUAAUCAUCUCAAUAGAGUACUCUAAGUCUAUAAAACUAGCAUGGACUAGGACGAUCAAGAAUAAAUCUUAAGUAUUCUAACUAUAAAGUCAAAGCAUAUAAUGACUAGUGCAAUUAAACUUAGCAUCAUUGCAGGAAAAAUUUAAACAUAUGUAUAGUGAUAUUACCAAGAAAGAUCAUGAACAGAACAAUCUCCUCCCUAUAAUAGUGGUGUUCUACGGUCCCUAUACUCGGGAUGAGGACUACAAAGGACUCAACAGGAUUGUCACUUCCGUGAUCUACCUCACGAUUCAGACUAUGGGGCAACCGCAGAUAAAUACGGCCCAGGCACCAUGUAUGCACAAUAUUAUCACUCAUCCAUCGAUCUAAUGAGCAAGUGUUAUACAAUCCUAUGCAUAAACAUAAUUAAAACAGAAAGAAAAAAAAGAAACAGACGAACACAGGUCCGAAACAAAAAAAAUAAGCAUGAGAAAAAUAAAAAACAGAAAAAAAAAUAAAUUUAAAAAACUCUCAGUGGUAAGAUAUAUAAUAUUAAAAAUUAAGACAAGAUUUAUAUUUUCUUUAAAUCUGUUUUUUAUUUCAAAAUACCCUGCCACCCUUUGGCACGGCCAGACUUCGUCCACGUGCUGUAUUUUCCUGUUUGCUUGAGGCCUUGUUUAGUUCACCCGAAAAACAAAAAAAAUUUCAAGAUUUUUCGUCACCAUCAAAUUUUAUGGUAUAUGUAUGGAGCAUUAAAUAUAGAUAAAAACAAAAUCUAAUUGCACAGUUUGCCUGUAAAUCACGAGACGAAUCUUUUAAGUCUAGUUACUCCUAAUUGGACAAUGUUUGUCAAAUAAAAAUAAAAGUGCUAUAAUGUCAAAAUCCAAAAACUUUUUGAAUCUAAACAAAGCCUGAACUUAUUGGCCAUAAUUUUACGACCAACCAACAUUGUUUUUCUCUCAUAGCAAAUUAGCACCAACCACUUUUACAGCCAGCCGGCAGAAAAUGGUCAAAGCUACUAACAAAUUAAAAAAAUGAACUCCAAAUCAAAACCAAAAGAGGACACCUAUGUCAUACCUGCUCAGCUCAUUCUUCAUCCGAAUUGGCUUAUGUUUCUAGAAUUGAACUCACAUAUGCUUAUAACCCCAUAAAUUUGUUUGCUAUAGCGGUCAUUGCCACAUUGCUGAGCACACACCAUUGUGUUAUUAAAUUUAAGGAAGAGGAUCUCCGCACUGAUUCAUUCCAUGGUCAGAUCAUCGAUUGAGAUGCUCCAUGGGCCAUGCUGCUAUCGCAAGUGCCGAGUCUAGAUACGGUAUAGCAACUUCGUUAACAUGUGCGAGCUCUGGCUCCACCUCCGUUGUUCGCACCACUGCUACUGCGCCUCGCUCGCACCACUACUACUAUUCUGCCAAGACACAUGUCGCCCAUCACCUUUCUUCACUAGGAUGGCCGGUGUUCUCUAUCACACCACCACGUCGUCGUUGCUAGAGAUUCCGAUCCAGAACCCAAUUGAAGUGCCAGGCAUGGCUUGCUUGUCAUCCGGGUGCCAGAACGGUCCGCACGCCAAACACAUGCAUCGAGAGUUUGAGGUGCCAUCGGACAUGGAUCUGGCGAUGCUAGGUCCACCUAUCCUGAAUGGUUGAACUCCUAGACUCGUGCAUGUCUUUGCCACCGAGUUCCCAGAUAUCCCAUGGCCAUAGCCCCAACUGUAUUAUGCACUUUCGAUGUCUUGGCAGAACGCUGUGGCAGAGCUAGAGCAAAUUUGAGAGAGGUGUGCUAUGCAUGUGGGUGCAUAUAAUUUUAUUGUAGGGGUGCAUAUAUAGUGAAAAUUUGAUCAUAAUUAUUGUUUUUUCAUUUUUCGUGGGUGCGCCCGCACCCAUUGCCAACUAUAUAGCUUCGCCCCUGGCAGAACGCAGCCAGACUCACUUGGGUUGGAGCAAGAUGGGUAGCAACAACUGCGAGAAUUGUCGAGUAGAUGACAUAGCAAUGGACCGAAUUCUGAUUGAUACGACAAUUCGCUUGGCUGAAAAGCUAUGACAGAAGUAUUGUUGGCUGAUUUGUUGUGAGAGAAAAACACUGCUGAAUGACUGGCUGAUUCGGCAGAUAAGCUCAAGCAAACAAUUUAUUAAUGAAAAAGGAAAAACAUAAUUUCUCUCCGUUGCAACGCAUGGACAGUUUUGCUAGUAGUGACUUAUGCGCGAAAGCAUUCGAGUCGUUACAAGAGCCUCAAUAACACCUUAGAUCCUAGGUUCGAUUUAACUUCCCGUGGAAGCGAAUGUUCUAGGAUUUAAUGGCAAUGUGUUUUCAGUGGUACCGAUAUUCUCAUCGAUAGCAAGAUGUACGUGGUGACUUCGUCAAUCUCGAGGAUUUAUCGGUCCAGUCUUCGAAGAUGCCCUCUGUGUGCGCAUUCACAUGGUGAGUGUGCAUGUGUUUAUAAGGUGAGUGUCUGAGUUGUAUUAUAUAAUCAAAAAAUAAUGACUUAUGCAUCUUGACACACUACAAUUUUUCAUUUGCCAUGGGAUUUGGCAUUCUAAUUUUCUCUUGAACUUUCAUGUACUAGUAUAUUACCCGUGCUAACGCUACGGUGUCAUCUAAAAACACAAAUCGACCAAAUAGAAGACAAUACAUGUUUUGAUAAUUGAUCAUGAAUAAAAAUGAAUGGCACAAAGAAAGCCUAUGUUAUCCUAAUCAAAAUGUUAUUAGAAUACACCAAAUUAAUGGCCACAUACAUUGCCAUGGUUUUUUUAUUUGUUUGAAAGCACAGAGAAAGUAUACAUCAAAUUUGCAUAUGGGCUGGGUAGUAAGGACAUAUCCAAAACAGACAUGAAAUUGGGUGUUUUCAUCUGACAAAGUCUGAAUUGAUAGGCAGUAAACAUGGGUCCAAAAGAAUGUAGUAAAUGAUAUAUAGGCAAGCAUGGUUUCCCUUGCCAGUCAAAAUGCUUUCCAUUACGGAGAACUCUGUCGGCCCCUAGUCGUCCAAUCUCAAAACAUUUGACUAAUGCAGCCAUGUAAAGCUGCAAAACAAACCAGCAAACGAAGUGAGAAUAUCCUACGGCAGCAUUUUCUACAUACACAUCACUAUGAUUGCACACGACCGUACAAGAUAAAUUUAACAGGGCGUGCCAUAGGUCAUCCGCUGAGCAGCUUCCUUGGCAAGCAGCUUUUCCCUGCCCUUGGUUUUCAACGGUGAUUUGGAACCCAUGACACCACCACCCCAGUUCUUGUUGACCUCAUGAAAUUUAUCUUUGAAGUUGGCCUACACUACUGGAUUUGCCUUCUUUGCCGAGAGCCAGAAGCCCUCGGCAAAGGUCUAAAAGCCCUCGGCAAAGGCUUUGCCGAGAGCCUGCCACGUGGCUCUCGGCAAAGAGCUCUCGGCAAAGAAUUCUUUGCCGAGAGCCGUCCAGACAGGCUCUCGGCAAAGACUUUUUGUUUUUUUUAAAAAAAAAACCUUUGCCGAGAGCCUAUCUGGACAGCUCUCGGCAAAGGUGGGAAUUUUUUUGUUUUUUAUUUUUUCCCUGAUUUUUACAUGCACAGCCACAUAUGUAUAUAUAUCACAAUCCACAUGUCUAUAUCACACUCCACAUAUAUAUCACAUGAAACAUAUCGAAGUCCAUAGAUAUCACAAAUCCACAUAGAUAUGACAAAUCUAAUAUAAAGUCCAACAUAAACAUAAGUUCAUAACAUAAACCACAAGGCCACAUGAAUAUCACUGCUCGAAGUCGCUAGCGCCUUACCCCUAGUGCUGUGACUCUGACCCGUCGUCGCCGUGGCCUCCGUCGUGUCCCGAGCCCCCAUCUGGCCACGCCGACCAGGGUGAGUGCCCCCCAAGGUGUGGAGAGCUCCCACGGCGCCCAAAUGGCCUGCCCUGGCGCCGACUGGUACGGGUACGAGUACCCGGGGCGCGGAGGAGGGCUGCCGGACAACCCAGGGUCAGGUUCGAACCCCACGACUGAUGCUGCAUAAUAUAAAACCAAUCUCAUUAGUAUCUGCAGGAUGACCGCACAAGCCAAAGCAACAGACAAACAUAUAUAUACUCACCGGACUCCCUGUAGGGGCAGGAACAGGGGAUGGAACAGGAGGUGGACGAUUAAACAUAUAUAUACUCACCGGACUCCCUGAGGCUGAAGGUCCGUGUCGUCGGUGUCAUCGGUGUCGUCGUGCCUCAUGAAGGUCGAGGCGACCCCCUUUCGCCGUGGUCGCCUUCCGCCCGACAUUUUGUCCUGUGCCUGCAAUGACAAAGCUUAAACCAAUUAGUACAAUUAAACAAGAAGUACUUACAAAGAAAAACAACACUAUAAGUACAAAAUUUCGACAAAACCUCCCCUGCACAGGGAGGUUUCCAAAACCUGCAAAAGAAAGCCGGCUCGAUGGCCAACAACACAUAUAUGACACGAAGGCCACACAUCCACAUUUCACAUAUAUGGCACACAUCCACAUUAUUUACUAGUACCAUCUGAUCUUGUUGAUGAUGGACCACAUGACACAUGAGUUGUGUAAUACUACAAGCUGUUUACUCACCGCUACUGUGCAUGCGACAUAGCCUGGUUUCUCCCUGUAAUCAACUCUGGAACACCAUAACAGAAGGGCUCCAAUGUACCAGGGAAUGGCACCAAGAAAGAAACCGAAUAUGAACCUUGAAACGCAAGAGAUUUAUAGUUACAAGAAGAGUAAACCAAAGGAAUGACACAAAGCUAUAGCAGCAGCACUGCAACUGCUGUACCUUGAAUUCUGUCUAAGUAUAUCAAACUGAACGACAAUGCUGCCUGACACAAAUGAAUGAAACUAAUAUAUGAACAUAGAAACAAAAAUGGAGCAACGAUGAUGACUUACAGGAACCAGCCAAAACCAAUGCCACAACAGCCAAAACCAAUACUAGUUUCUAAAUUAGUAUUUCAGUUGAAAAAAAAACUACAAGUAAGAGCAGUGAUUUAAUUCCAAUGGUCAUGGCUUGUCAUCGUGAAGGAAAAGGCUGGAAAAGACUGCAGCUGCAGCUAGGAUACACCUAAUUUUGCUAACCAAUAUGAAGCGCCCCUGCUGACUCUACGAUGCUGCACUCAAAACAAAACUUUCUACUAGGCUAUAACUAAAUAAACUGCGUAGUGUGCUCCUUUGUUCUUCUACUGAUGAUAUCUGAUGAACAAAACAGAGUGACCGAAAAACACAGAUGCAGAUUUGGAGUCGGACGCAAGGAGAGGGAGGGAGGAGAAAUCAACGAGCGCAGAAUUGAAACUGGGAGUCAUCUCAAUUCUCACCUCGCAGCGUCCGUGCGGCGUCCGUGCGGGCAGCGGCCGGGGCUCCUGCGGCGUCCGUGCGGCCGCCGGCGUCCUGGGCUGCUGCGGCCGGCGGCGUCCUGCGUCCGUGCGGCCGCCGGCGUCCCGGGCUCCUGCGACGCGAUGUGCUGCGGCCGGCGGCGUCGAUGCGGCGUCCUGGGCUCCUGCGACGUCCUUCGGCCGGCGGCGUCCUGCGUACGUGCGGGAUGCGGCGAGGCGGCGGUGGCGCACGGAGCCGGGGAAGGGCGGGCUAGGGGCGGGGGCGGGGGCGGUGUGGGCCGGCGGCGCGCGGCAGAUUUGGUCGGCGGCGGUUGGGGCGCGGGGUGCAGCGGCGGCUGCGCGCGGGCGGCGGCGUGCAGGGUGGGCGCGUCUGUGCGUUAGGGUUGGGCGCGGGGUUGGGCCGUGUGGGGAUAAGGAGAUUUUCCUUUUAAAAAAAAAAUAUAUCCUUUGCCGAGAGGCACAGAGACAUACUCUCGGCAAAGAAAUAGUUUUAUUUUUUUUUAAAAACACCUUUGCCGAGAGCCAGAAGGGUAGGCUCUCGGCAAAGACACUUUGCCGAGAGCCAGAUGUGCAGGCUCUCGGCAAAGAGGUAUUUGACUUUUUUAUUUUUUUUUAUUUUAGACUUGAGUUUUUUUUUUGUCCUUGUGACCCAAUUUCUAAAUACAUUUCAAAAUUUGGCAUCAAUUUGACUUUUUUUGCUAUAUUUAACAAAUUAAUCUUGUUUCUUUAAAUUUUUUCACGUAAUUCAAAUUUGAACUGCAGGCAUAUGGAAUAUUGGAACUCAGUGAUUCAAAAAAUAAUAGUCAAGAUAUUUGAUGUAUGUUGAGGUUGUACCCACAACCACACAUGAAAUCUCAACCCUUUCGCUGACAUAACAUGUCGAGGAAUGUGAGGGAAAAGUAUUUUUUAAUUAUAUAAAUUCCAAAUGAAGUCCAAAAAUCACGAAACUUAGCGACGUGUCGUGUUAUCGCAUGUGGAGGCUGUGGUAAAAAAUUCAUAAGAUUUCGAGCAAGUUGUGAUGCCGAAUGUCUAAAACCCAGACAUCUCCACAUGUGAUCAAAUAUGAUCACAUGUGGAGAUGUUUGGAUUUUAGACAUCCGGAGUCGCAACUUGCUCGAAACUUUAUGAAUUUUUUACCACAACAUCCACAUACGAUAACAAGACAUGUCCCCAAGUUUUGUGAUUUUUGAAGUUCAUUUGAAAUUUAUAUAAUUAAAAAUCACAUCAACGACACAUGGAUGGUUAUGUUUCGUAUAAAAGACAUUCAAACUUUUGGGUGAGUUUAUGGAUAUAGCCUCAAAAUACACUCUCAAAUAUGAGUAUCAUUUUUUGAAUGGCUAUAUAUUAUUAUUUCAUACACCUAUAGUUCAAAUUUACUUUUUCAAAAAAAUGCAAAGAAAAUAAAUUAAUUUAUGAAAUAUAGCAAAAUGUUAUAAAAAACUCCCAAAUUUGAACAUGUGCUUGUAUAUAAUAUGCAAGAGCUAUAGAAAAAGUCUAGACCCAAAAUUCAAAAAAAAAACUUCACUCUUUGCCGAGGGCAAGUGCUAGCCCUCGGCAAAGGGGGUCUUUGCCGAGAGCCAGUCAUUGCCCUCGGCAAAGGCCACCUCUUUGCCGAGAGCUUAACGACGUGGCUCUCGGCAAAGGUGACGACAUGGUAGGCGUUCACGGCGCGGUACCUUUGCCGAGAGCUUGCCUUUGCCGAGAGCUAGGCUCUCGGCAAAGCUGACCUUUGCCGAGAGCCUUUCUUUGCCGAGAGCCUGGCCGUCGGCAAAGGCUCUUUGCCGAGAGGAUGACCUGGCUCUCGGCAAAGGCAGUCUUUGCCGAGGGUCUGGCUCUCGGCAAAGCCAGGCCCUAGGCAAAGCUCGCGUUUCCUGUAGUGCUAGGAGUGAAUGAGUUCCCAAUCAGUACAUAAGUCAAUUGAACACAAAUUGGAUGCGGAGAAAAAGAUAUUCAUAAAGAAUUUAGCAAUGGCAUCCUUGAUUAGCAAUGUACCUAAUUAUGAGCACAUAUGUGGGUGGUUGAAGACUUCUAGCUGUACCAGAUGGUGUCUGCCAUGGGAGAGCUCGUGCUCUAACUACAACUUCAUCCGGCUCGUCUUAGGACUCUGGCUUUCAUACCAAUCAAUCAAAACAAAAUUGUCAUCGUGGAUGAUGAGCUAAUCUGAUCAUUGCAUAAUCAACUGAUCGGCAAGAGCAGACAUAGAUUUACUAAAUAAGAUGAGUUAAGUAAAAAGUGAUGGCAAAUUAGAGGAAAGGAUGCACCUGAAUCUUAAAUUAAAAAGAAAACUCACUAUAUUAUUCUAACUCCAUUAUUCAAUAUUGCAAGUCACCAUUUAACAAAUCAGAGGAAUGACCUAAAUGACCGUAGGUUUAGAAACUCUAAGUAACUAUUAACAGAUUUAAAAUCGACUUCAGGCCAUGGAUUAAAAACAAAGAAGUAGGCUCCACAAAGAAUUCAAGUUAAGACAUGUCUGCAUGACUAUUUCCUACUUGCUAAAGCAUUGUGAUCUCUACUAUUUCCUACUUGCCAAAGCAUUCUGAUCUAUUUACCAGUAUUAUCCAAUUAGAAUCAGCUGCAAAUAAAAUUCCUGCUCCUGCUGCUAUAACUCGGAUGACAGAUCAAAUAACCUCCAGGAGAAAAAUAUUAGAAAACUGGUGAGAGCCAUGUUUCUCAUCUUUCUCGGUCACACCAACUUUUAGAAAUUGAGCAGAGUGGAGCUUAUAUCAGAACGACAAUAUUCCACAAUCACAUAUAGCACCAAAGUUCAGUUAGCAUACCUUAAAAUGGCAUAUGAUGUCAAAAUUGCUAGAUGGUUAUUGCUAAAGGGAUGCUAAGAUGUCUAUAGAACUGCUCUUGCCACUGCUCUACCAGUCUAUCACCGCCUUGCACACUGCCUCGCCGCUGGGGCCAACUUGAUAUAGGGAAUUGAUCAAUAAGCACCAACCAUAUACAAUCAAACACAUUGAAGAAAAAGCUGAAUUAGUCUGGAGCACCACCAAAUAUCUCACCUGUCUUCACUCUUCAGCGACAAUCAGAGCAGCUAAAAAGGAACAAGUUCAAAGAUCAAAAGGCCACCAUGCUGCCGCCACAACUUUCAUGGUGCUACUUCUCAUGUCCUAGCAAAUUGAUGGAUCCGUAAAAUCUGCAGGGUCGAAAAAUUAGCUACAGAUUGCUGACAAUACGUUGAUAGGCCUCUUGCACCCCUUGCAUUGGAUCCCACCAAUCUGGAACAACACAGCCAGAUACAAGAAAUAUAUAUGAGUCAAUGGUAUUGAUACUUGCCCAACUGGAUGGAUAAUCCCAUAGCAUCCACUAACCCAAAUUGGUUUGUUUAAGAAACUGUACGUUCAUUACAGUAUACGGGCACAAAAAUAUAAGAGCCUCUAUGUACAAAUGGCAGAAACCCACAUGAUCCAAGUAUGAAUCAAUACUGGAGAAUCGGGAACCACCACUGCACACUGCAACUAUAGUGUUCUGAUUCCCAUGUUCCUGACCUAAGACAACUGUGAUAAUAAGAAACUAAAAUCUAAACUGUGAUAAUAAGAAACUAAAUUCUAAAUGUCUUCACCGAAUCAGGAUGCUUACCUUGUCCCAGCCCCUAUAUGUUGUCGUUAACAGAUGGCUUCAACCGGCUGCCUAAAUGCUCCCCGUCCUCACCCUCAGCCAUGCAACCCUCGCCGCAGCUCACAGAGGGUUGCGGUGGUGGCACGCCGGCGUCCUCGUUCAACAUGAUGCGGAGUCCAUCAUCGCUGCUGCUAUAGCCUGUAGUCCCGUCGUCCAAAUCUACCUCACCUCGCAGUCAGUCACCGGGUCAGAGCAGCGACACCUCGCGGGGACGCCUUGCCAGUCCGCCCAGAGCAAUGGGGAUCUCAGGAGACGGAUGCGUGGGACAUCCGUAGGUGCCACAUGCGAUCAAUCGGCUGCUCUCUACGGCGUGGCCGUUGCGCCGCCAACCUCCGCAAUGUGCUCGCUCGCGUGAUGGCAGUGUCGGGGAUCUCACGCUCGUAGGAUCAUCCGUUCUCGCGAUGAGGGAUCGAGGGCCUUGAUCUGGGCGGGAUCGGCGGCGGCGCGGGGUUGGGGAUUCACAAAUAUUCGAGUAGUACCCGCGUCAGGUACCCACCCUAACAUGCGUCGUCCGAUUGUGAGCUGAGAUUCGCGCUGUGCUGCCGACGUGUACUAACCGGUUUCACUUAAAGCUUGAUAUCUGACACGCUGGAAGCAUACGUGUACUGAACCCUGCAACCAAUUUAAUGCGGUCGGUGGAGGACGCUGCCUCUCCAUGCUAUCCGAUUUGACCUUGUCCAAUUUCAAGAUCCUAUCUACCCACAUAAUAAGUACUAAGGCCUUGUUUAGAUGUAACAUUUUUUUAAAAUUUCACUAUUGUAGCAUUUUCGUUUGUUUGUAAUAAAUAUUGUCUAAUUAUAGACUAACUAGGGUCAAAAGAUUCGUCUCACGAUUUACAGGCAAACUGCGUAAUUAGUUUUUAUUUUUGUCUAUAUUUAAUGCUUCAUGCAUGUGCCGCAAGAUUCGAUGUGACAGAGAAUCUUGAAAACUUUUUGGUUUUUGGGGUUUGAGAAUGAUAAAAUUUAUUAGACGUUGUAAUAUAUUUUUGUUAUAUUUGACAAUUUAUGUCUAAUUAUAAACUAAUUAGACUCAAAAUAUUCGUCUCGUAAAUUAUACUCUAGUUGUUGUUUUAGUUUUGCAAAUAGUAUAUAAUUAGUACUUCAUGUAUGUGUUCAAACAUUUGAUGUGAUGGGUGACAAAAAUAAUCAACUGAAACCAAACAUUGUAUUUUUUAAAUGGACGCGGUACCAUUUUUAUUUGUAUUUGACAAAUAUUGUUCAAUUAUGGACUAACUGGGCUCAAAAGAUUCGUCUCGUAAAUUACAGACAAGUUGUGCAAUUAGUUAUUUUUUAUUUAUAUUUAAUGCUUCAUGCAUGAGCAGUAAGAUUCGAUGUAAUGGGGAAGCUUGAGAUUUAGCUACUGUAGCACUUUCGUUUGUAUUGGAUAAUUAUUCAAUCAUGGACUACAAUCAAAAGAUUCGUCUCGCUGAUUAAAGGUAAACUGUGUAAUUAGUUUUUUAUAUAUAUUUAAUACUCUAUGAAUAUGUCUAGAGAUUUGAUGUGACAGAGAAUUUUAAAAAUUUUUGAAAACUAAACAAGACCUGAAUCUUUGGACACGCAUGGAGCAUUAAAUGUAGGCGGAACAAAGAUUAAUUCCACAGAUAACCUAAUUAGACCAUAAUUAGAUACUAAUUUCCAAAUGAAAUGAAAAUACUAUGAUAGUUAAAUCCAAAAAAAAUUCAAACUAAACAGGCCUCAUUAUGCCUUAGUGUGCUCGUGACAGUGACAUUUACUCCCUUUGUAUCCAUUUGCAUGAUCAACUAUUCUAAGCACUACCAGUUUCACACAAACUGUAUGACAAGUUGGCCAAAGGCAAUGCCUUGACACUUCAGCUUGGCAAAUGCAGGCCUUGUUUAGUUGGAAAAAAAAAUAGUUUUAGCUACUGUAAUAUUUUUGUUUGUAUUUGAUAACUAGGUUAAUGUCCGUACGUUGUUACGGGUUUUAAAAUUCACAUACUCUAUGUUUCUUCCUUUUUCAUUUCUUUUCAGUUUUUGUUUUUUUAUUUUAUUUUAUUUCCUGUCCUUUUCUUAUUCCUUUUCUUGUUUUAAUUUUACCUUUUAUUUUCUUUUUCUUUUGGUUUUAGUUUUAUUGUUCUUCCUUUUGCUUCUAUUUGUUUUUCUUUUUUCUUUUCAGAUUUUCUAUGUUUCUUCGUUCUUAUUCUGUAUUUUAACUCCUUUUAAUCUUCUUUUUAUCCUUAUUUAAAUUAUUUAUUUAUUUUAUUUGCUCUAUGCAUUUUUUUUAUCAUUUGUUAAUCUUAUUUGUUUUUAUAGUUUUCUUCUUAGUAAUUUUAUUUUUUUAUUUUUAUUUUCUAUAUAUAUGCGAUGUUUAUGUAGUAUAUAUUUAGUGGUUUAUGUUGUGUUAUGUCAUGUUUACGUAGUAUACAUGUGAUGUUCUAUGAUGUUUCUUAUGGUGUUCACUUAGUAUACAUGUAAUCUAUAAUAGAUGUGAUGUUCUAUAAUAUAUUUAAUGAUGUUCUAUGAUGUAUUUAGUGAUGUUAAUGUUAUAUGAUGUAUUAUUUGAAAUUUUUCUCUAUUUUAUUUUUUUCUUAUGCUUUUUACUCUAGAUUUUAUUAUUAUUUUUAUCUAUGUCAUGUAUUUAUGUAUUUUUAUGUAUAUUGUAAUAUCAGUUUCAUAAACCUAAAAUCAAAAUACUAUUCUUCUAAAUCGAUAACAUUUUCUACAAAGAUAGUUGUUUCUACUUAAUAAAAGAAAAUAUUUUAUCUUUAUAAGAUAAAUAUUCAUUAAUAAAAUUUUAUCUAAAUAUAUCCAUGUGUGAUCUUGUUUUGAAGGAUUUGUUAUAAGAAAUUUAAUGGUGCAAUCGAAAUUUAAUUUAUAUCUUUGGUUUAUGAGUUAUGACUUUUUUUAAUUCGCUAAAACAAUUUUGCAUGCAUAGGUGAGUGGGGCCUAGGUUGAUGGGAUAGUGUGUCAUCAAAGGAAUGAGAGUUAUGGAUAGGUCCUCUCCAUAAUUUUUAGUUAUAGAGAUAAAUAAUUAUUAAUAAAAUUUUAUCUAAAUAUAUUCAUGUGUGAUCUUGUUUUGAAGAAUUUGUUAUAAGAAAUUUAAUGGUACAAUCGGAAUUUAAUUUAUAUCUUCGGUUUAAGAGUUAUGAUUUUUUUAAUUCGCUAAAACCACGCCACAAUCAAGAUCAACAUGUUAAUAUCUUAUUUUUGCUUGGUUUAUAUCUUAUUUUGUUGUGGCUUGGUUUAUUAGUAAGAGUUCCUAAAAAUGACUUAAAUUUGACUAUAUUUAUAUAAUUUUUUGAAUAAAAUAAGUGGUCAAACUUAAGGUUAAAAAAAAUUAAACGCCUUAUAAUUUGGAACGAAGAGAGUACUUUAUUGCAGGACGCUUUACUUUAAAUGACAGGGGCCAAAUCUAACUAGGGCCUUGUUUAGUUUCACCCAAAAAUCUAAAAUUUUUCAAAAUUUUCUGUCAUCGAAUGUUUGGACGCAUGCAUGAAGCAUUAAAUAUAAACAAAAACUAAAACUAAUUAUAUAAUUUGCCUGUAAUUUACGAGACGAAUCUUUUUAACCUAGUUAGUUUAUGAUUGGACAAUGUUUAUCAAAUAAAAACAAAAAUACUACCGUAACGAAAAUCUUUUUCAGGAACUAAACAUGGCGUAGCUUACGCCGGAGCCUUUUAACUGCAUUAAUUCACUACUUCUACCUACCCCCUAUCGGCCAGCCAGACCGCACACAUGCAUUCCAUUCCUCUCUUGUCCAUGUCAGCUCCACGUCGCCCGGUUUACAUUAAACACACAGCCACGUCUUUCACCUUGCCACUUAUCCCUUUGCCAAUCUCAACACCGCUACUCACCCCUGUCCGUCCGAUCAGGGUACCUGCCGCGGUUCCUACCAAAUCCACGCCCGUUGGGGAUUGCAAGGUGCAGCGGAUUUCUGGGUUUCCUACAAGAGCUUUUCUUUUUUUAAAAAAACUGUGUUCGCAGCCUUCGAUCACUGCUCGCGACGGUGUGUGGAGCUUUGGACCGCCGCGCUUCCGUGUGAUGUGUAGCACGUUUGAAGCCUCGGGUGAGAAGCCUGCCUUCCCACAUUCAAUCGUGGCCAUCAGAUUUAGUGUAGAUGUUUUAUUAGUCAUUGAUUUUAAUGAAGAAAAAUUUCUGUGUGCAUUUUUCUGGGUGCACAGUGGCUAGACACUCUCAGCGGGGGACGGUUUACUGGGUGGACCAAGUAUUCCAUUAUAGUAGAGAUGGGUAAUGCUAAGAUACACCCCUUUACUACUAGGAGGUAAUAUCUCAAAUAAACAUGAGCCCUUGAUUUUUUUGGAUUUUUUGAAUUACUUAUUAAUAAAUUAAAAAUCUAGAAAAACAAAAUACUUCCUCUACAUCCCUCUAACGACGGGAGGGGAAAUUCCGUUAAAAACAUACAUGUCGAUUCCCUUAAUUUUUUUUUCUAGAACAAGACUUCACGUGUAUUUCAUUAAGAAGGAAAAAAAGUUCACAGCACUACAGCGAAGAAAAACCAAAACAACACCCUCGGCGAGCUGCCAAGAAGCGAAAAGGAGAGGAUAAAAAAGGACAGGCGUGGGAGACACCCUUAAUCACAGGAGAUACAGAACAGGAGGGUGAUACAGAACAGGAGGGUAAAUUCCUUUAAAAACAUGCAUGCUGAUUAGUGAUUACCAUAAUCACGUGAGAUACAGAACAGGAGGGUAAAAUUCAUUCAUAACAUGCAUGCCGAUUCCUCUAAUCAUGGAAGAUACAGAAGCGAUUCCUUUCCACUACACAGGCUAAUCACAUAGACAUGCAAAUUCUACCACGUGCAAAAUCAAGUGUGUAUAAAGUUACAUACAAAACUACAUGGUAAUCAAAAUAUAUCAAAUACAAAGUUAUAAAAAAAAUAAAGAUAUACUAUAUCAGUCAGAACACACGCAUGCAUCAAUCAAAUCUAGAAAAAAAACUUAUAUCUAAAUCUUUUCUUAUUUAUCCUUUUUUAUAAAAUAAACAAAUUAAAUAUAUAUUUCAUCUAUUACCUAUCUAUUACCUCAUAAGAGGUAAGCAAUUAAGUAUCAAAAUAUUAUGCCACUUAUUAAUAGAGAGCAAGUCUCAUUGAAAUCAACGCUGUAUCUUUAUAUAAAACUCUAUGCCACAAGGAUUAUUUUAUAUCUUACCAUUUUAAUUAUUUUCAUUCCAUUUUGUAUCCGACACGAAAAGGUACAAGUCCGUGUUGGCAACACAGUCAAAUACGCUUCAUUUUAUAAAGAGAUAUGCAAUCUCCGUUUCAAUUGCAUAUUUUCAUUUAUCUCGGUCUGAACGCUUUUGCAUUCUACCAUAGACCGGAUCUGGAUCACACUGAAGGAUCUUUGCGAUCUAUAUAUAUUCCGAGAAAUAAUUUGGCGCUAUAUAAAUAGGUGCAGACAACUAACCUCUUUUCCAAAUCUCUUUCAGACUUGCUAACUCAAGUUAAUAUUAUUCCACAUAACAAUCAUCACCUUUAGUCCUUGGUUAGCAUUUCUUCAAAUAUAUUUUAAAAGGUUUGUCAAACUUUUUCCUCAAAAAUGCAACACGUACGUUUGUUGGACACAUGUUGUGCAAUACGCGCGUGGAAGGCGAUCUAAUGCAACACCUCACAAGUAAGUAGCACUAGAAACACAUCUGUAAUGCGCUCGUGGAUCAUAUCAUAUACCACCAGCACGCCUGUUUAAAUGUCCAUAUCUAUAGACUGUAUACAAAAAAUAUCUUUAGUACUGUACUAGUGUUUGAUCAAUAUAUAGGAGACGUUUCUGUCCUUUUUAGGGCCUUUUGAGUUUGAAAUGCCAAAAGUUUACAAGCCCAAGUUUUGCUACUUUUUGCCCAUGGUGUUUAAUUAUAUUUAUUUUGCCAAAAGAUAAGAUAAAACACCAAAAGUUUUGGUAAAAUUUUUAAACUCCUUUACUCUUAAUACAAUGAUAUGCAGCUUUCAGCUUUCAUGUGUAUUGGAAACAAAAAACAGGCCCAAUAUCUUGGUCGGAGCGCUUUUGCAUUCACAUUGAAGGAUCUUUGCGAUCUAUUCAGAGAAAUAAUUUGGAGCUAUAUAAGGCCCUGUUUAGUUCCCCAUCCAAAAUUUUUUCAUCCAUCCCAUCAAAUCUUUGGACACAUGCAUGGAACAUUAAAUGUAGAUAAAAAAAUAAACUAAUUACACAGUUUAGUUGAGAAUCGCGAGACGAAUCUUUUAAGCCUAGUUACUCCAUGAUUAGCCUUAAGUGCUACAGUAACCCACAUAUGCUAAUGACAGAUUAAUUAUGCUUAAUAAAUUUGUCUUGCAGUUUCCUGACGAGCUAUGUGAUUUAUUUUUUUAUUAGUUUCUAAAAACCCCUCCCGACAUCCUUCCGACACAUCCGAUGUGACACCCAAAAAUUUUUCGUUCCCAAUCUAAACAGACCCUAAAUCAGUGCAGACAACCUCUUUUCAAAAUCUCUUACAGACUUGCUAACUCGAGUUGAUAUUAUUCCACAUAGCACUCAUCACCUUAAGUCCUUGGUUAGCAUUUCUUCAAAUAUAUUUUAAAAGGUUUUUCAAACUUUUCUCAAAAUUCAACACGUUUGUUGGACCUCACAAGUAAGUAGGCACCAGAUAACAAUUAUAGAAACACACAUCUGCAAUGCGCGUGCGCGUGGAUCAUAUCAUAUACCAGCAUGCCUGUUUAAAAAUGUCCACAUCUACAGACUGUAUACGCACGUUUCCUUCAAUCACGACGCUGGCACAUACUACAUGCCAGUUUUUUUUUUAUUCAAUCACGAUUCUGGCACGUACAUACACAUAUGCAUGCCAUGUUGACCCAACUACUCGAUGUCUCUCCCUCUGAUAAAAAUGCACACAUCGUCAAGAGCCAGCGAGAGAGAGCGAUCGAAACGGAGAGGACCGGCAGAGGCUUCGACGAUUGGUACUGUUAUCUAGCAAUGGCUCACGGAAGGCGAAAAGACGACGAGGAGGAUUGCACUUGCACGGCGGCCCUGCUGCUGCGCGGCGACGACGCCGAGGCAUGGAAGGAGGAAGAGUGGCACCACCACCACCACCACCACCACGCGUCCUCCAGCGAUCUAUGGAGGUGGAUGAGGAGGGUACGCGAGGAGUCGAGGAAGCUGUGGGAGGUCGUGGGGCCCGCCAUCUUCACACGCGCCGCCAUCUACAGCCUCAACGUCGUCAUGCAGGCAGUCGCCGGCCACCUCGGCGACCUCGAGCUGGCAUCCGUCUCCUUCGCCUGCACUGUCCUGACCGGCUUCAACUAUGGCCUCAUGGUGAGUGGACUGGUACCGUCGUUUCUCUUCUUAUUCCUAAGCUUUGUUCCAGUAGAUGGAAAGUAAACGCUGAUGAAUUUUGUGCUAAUGUUGAUGAGUACUCCUCUCUAGCCACUUCCCGAAUGCCGAUCACGGCGGCGGCGGCUUAGGAAGCUGCCGCCACGUUGGCUUCUUUAGGAAGUGCCUUUUUUUUUUUUAUGAACGAAGUCGUAGUCCAUCCUCGCAUUACCUUUUAGCAUUUUGUUUGGUUUAUUAGAUAGAAAAUAGAAUGAGCGCUAUUCAUCACCACGUCGUCAUUCUUAAUUAAUCCAAUGAAAAGCAUGUAACAUUGCAUAAUAAAAGGUAAAAUACACGCCACCGCUCUCUAAACUUGGGCCAUGUUUCUGGUUUUUUCCCCUUCUAAAUUUUAUCUAGCUAAACUUUAGUCACUUUAGUAGUUAAAGUAUCAAACGUAUUGACUAAAAUGAGCUAAAAUAGUUUAGUCCCAUUAGUCACCCAAAAGUAACUAAAAUAACUUUAGUUAGCUAAAAUUUAGCAAAAGGAACCAAACAGGCCCUUGGUAUAUAUAGGUUGUCAUGAAGGUCCCAAACUCUUAAAAUGCACACCUAGGUCAUUUAACUUGGCACAUGGUACGUCACAGGUCCAAACGUCUCACGUGGCGGUUCACGCUAGCACCAACGAUACCGGAUCAAACAAUAAACUUAGCAGGGUGUGUCAUCUAAGGCAGCUUUAUCCGCAAUACUGGUGCACACCUCCAUUGCUAUUUGCCUAUCCCCUUGGGCUAUUGGACAAUUUGACAAACUUCAACAGGGGUUCAUAUGGACUGGCUCUAACGUGGUUGCGGCCAGAAAAUGCAAGGUAGCGUGACCGAUUGUCUGCAGGCCCACAAACCUUGGUGGUCUAGGCAUCUCCGAUCUCAGGCGCAUGGGGAUCGCACUUUGGGUCUGCUGGGUCUGGAGGGAUCGGCACAGGGGUGUGUGCCCUUCCACGGCCGAGCACGCCGUGUUGGACCUCUUCCAGGCGGCGAAUGUCUUUUGUGUUGUAACAGUCGCUCUACCUUCUUUUGGACGGAUCAUUGGAUGGAUGGCCGCAACAUCAAGAUGAUUGCCCUAGCAGUGUUUGAGCGGUACGUAAGCGUAAGCUCAAGACGACGGUGGAUGAUUGAAAGGUCCUAAUAUGGCUCAAAAUUUGGAUCAUCACAAUCAACAAUCACACCUCCAAUAGAUACCUUGUCGUCACCGUGAGACAUAGAGGAAUGUGAUGAAGUGGAUGAGCUUGUAGAAACAUCACUCUCAUAGCCAUCAUCUUCAUCCUCACUUGACCAUGAGGUGGAGCAAUCCUCCACAAUCACCAUGUUGUGGUCAUGCUCAACAUCCUCACGUGCAUCCACCUUUGGCAUAUCAUCUUCUUUGGUGAUCGCCCUAUAUUUCUCAUUGAGAUAACUCCAAAUCUCAUAAGCGGACUUCAUAUCCAUGAUAUCACCAAAUAUGUUAUCUUUCAUGGAUGAAUAGAAGAUGUUAGUGGCUUGGUAGUCGAGAUGUAGACAUUUCUCUUGUGCUUGAGUUAGAUUCUCUUCAUCCAACAUAUGAGAAAAGCCUACAUCUACCAUCCACCAUAUUUGAGGAGAAAUAAACUUAAAAUUGCAUGUCAUCCAAUUUCUCCACUGUGCAAAGUGUGUGCCAUAAAAAAUGUGUGGACACUCAACAUCUAGCCCAUAAGCCGCCAUCCUCUCGGGUCGGUGAAGACCACAAAUGAGAGACCUAGCUCUGAUACCACUUGAAGGGUCGAGAUGACGGACUAGAGGGGGGGUGAAUAGUCCUUUCUAAAACUUUAACACGCCGGCUAACCGAAACAAGUGCGGAAUUAAAACUAUCGGUCUAGCCAAGACUACACCCCUCUAUCUAAGUUCUCUAGCACCUUGAAAAGAUCCUAAACAAGCAAGCAAGGUGCUACCUUAGCAGGAGCUCACCUAACCAAAUCUAGAAGCAAGGUCACACAAACCUAUGCAACUAGUACUUUGCAAACCGGGGGAGCUCCUACACAAACUAGUGAGGCAAAGCGCACAAAGCCUAAGCUCACUAGCAAGCUCAAUAACAAGGCAACUAAUGCCAAAUUAGAGAGCACAACUUACUUAGCUACACAAACUAAGCAAUGUGACUAACAAGAUUACACAAACCAAAUUAGUCACGCAAGGGAACUACUUCUAGCUACACAAGCAAGAAGGUAACUAGCAAGCUACACAAGCUAACUAAAUACAAGAGCAACUACACAAGCACAAGUAUAUGAAAAUAAGCACAAGCUUGUGUUAGGGACUUGCAAAACAACGGGAAGAACAAUGUUGACACGAUGAUUUUCUCUCGAGGUUCACUUGGUUGACACCAAGCUACGUCCCCGUUGAGACAAGCUCCAAGGUUGCCAUCGGUCCUCUUGCUAGUGGUGACCCGCAAGUCACACUCUCCCACGUGAAGUGCUUACCACAAGCUCUAGCACUUGACCCGGCCGGACCACUUGUCGCUCUUCACGUCUCGCUCAACUAGAGUUGCUCUUCGCGAUCCCCGCGGGGUGAACACCGUACCCCUCACAAUCUCUUCUCCGGAGCACCGCACAAUCUCCUUGCGUGCUUCGACGGAGUCACAAGCCACCGAGCCAUCUAAUAGGUGGCAACCUCCAAGAGUAACAAGCACCACCGGCUUGCAACACGAACACCUAGUGCCACUCGAUGCAAUCUCUCAAUGCAACGCACUAGAAUCACUCACUCGCUAUUGAUUCACACUCUUGCAAGCACAAGUGAGUUAGAGGCUUUCCUAGCACUCUCCAAGCAUGGACACUAAGUCCCAAGGGUGCUCAGCUCCGGCCAAGGCCGGCCACCACUUCUAUUUAUAGCUCCAAGGGCUAAACUAGUCGUUGCCCCUUCACUGGGCAAAACACGUGGGCACCGGACGCUCACAGGGAGCCACCGGACGUUCAACCCCCAGCGUCCGGUGCUCAGGCGUCAGCCACGUGUCACUAGCCGUUUGAAAACGACCGUUGCCGCCAACGCCUACUGCGCACGCGUGCCUACACAGCACCACCGGACGCUCUACCGCGUCACACUGGACCCGUGCGCAGAGAGCUCCGCAAACUCGCACGGUCACCGGACGCGAGCCACCGGACGCACCCUGAGCGUCCGGUGCUUAUCGGACUCAUGCGCAGAGAGGGUCGCCAAAACACCUGCACACCAGACGCUAAAGCCAGCGUCCGGUGCCUCUACGCAGUGCAUCCGGAGAGAAACACUCCCGCGACUUCUCCAAACUUCCCACCAGCGCAAUAGAAAAAAAUAUGCACUUAAUUUUCUCAAAAGCGCCGAAUCCCGCCGAGCUUGCGAGGCGGGAGGGAGAGUGGAACCCACACCCUUCUCAUCCCAAGGAACUCCACCUUCUUUGCAAAGUGUGCCAACACCACAAAGUGUGUACCAACAAGUGCACGUGUGUUAGCAUUUUCACAAGCAUUUUUCCAAAGGAGUUAGCCUCUCAAACUUGCCACGCCACUCGAUCCUAACACGUAUGCAAAGUUAGAUCGCUCAAGUGGCACUAGAUGACCGAUAUGCAAACAUGUUUGCCCCUCUUGAUAGUACGGCCAUCUAUCCUAAAUCUGGUCAUAAACUUCUCUACACACCUAUGACCGGUGAAAUGGAAAUGCCCUAGGUUAUACCUUUGCCUUGCGCAUUCCAUUCCUUCUCCUCCAAUGUUGAUUCAACACAUGCACCAACCAAUCACCAAACGAUAUGAUCCACUUCAUAUCAUCACGUGACCGUAUUGGUUCAUCGAUCUUGACCUCACUUGCUCUUCACCGUUGCCUCGGUCCAUCGGCGCCAAGUCUUGCUCAAGCUUCACCGUCAUACGCGGUCCCUCGCUUCAAAGCCUCUGACUUGCCCUUCACUCUUGCAACCGGUCCAUCAAGCCAAGCCUCAUCUUGAUCUUCUCCACCUUGGCCACAUGACUCCAUGUCAUGUCUCAUAUGCAAUGAGCUCCUCCAUCAUCACAUAAUCACCUGUGGACUAAUCUCCUGUGUAUCUCACAUAAACACUGUUAGUCCACCUAAGUUGUCAGUCAAUUACUAAAACCAAACAAGGACCUUUUACUUGCGCACUUUGUGCGUUGUUGUUUUGCUUGGUUGGUUGUAUGAACUUUUUCCUACUUAAUGAAAAAUGCGCAACGGUGUGGUCUCGAAAAAAAACUUUUAAAAUACACGUGCAUGUGAACGUACAGCUUGGCAUGGCGAGCGCGCUGGAGACGUUGUGUGGCCAGGCGUACGGCGCCAAGAAGUACCACAUGAUGGGAGUGUACAUGCAGCGCUCGUGGAUCGUCCUCUUCGUGUGCGCCCUGCUGCUGACGCCCAUGUACUUCUUCACCGAGGACCUGCUCCUGGUGACGGGGCAGCCGCCGAAGCUGUCGGCGAUGGCGGGGCGGGUCUCCAUGUGGUUCAUCCCUCUGCACUUCUCCCAGGCCUUCCUCUUCCCGCUGCAGUUGUUCCUACAGUGCCAGCGGAAGAACCUGGCCAACGCCACUGCCGCCGCCGCCGCGCUCGGCAUCCACCUCUUUGUCAGCUGGCUCUUCGUAGCCAGGCUCAAGCUCGGGCUCGUCGGCGUCGCGCUCACGCUCAGCGUCUCGUGGUGGACGAUCACCGCUAUGCUUUUCGUCUAUGUCACGUGUGGCGGCUGCCCAGAGACCUGGCACGGCUUCACGGCGGAGGCGUUCGCCGGACUGGGGGAGUUCAUCAAGCUGUCCGCUGCCUCCGGUGUCAUGCUUUGGUACGUUCAUAUCUAUAGCAUUUUGUAUUGUGGAGAUGAAUUAGAGUAGAACUUGAACUAAAUUUCACUUUCACUCUAAUACAUGUGGAUUAAAGUCAAUAUGAAAAAUAUCCAAACAAGGUCUAAAUAAAGUUUGAACAUACUACCAUGUUUAUUUAUGUUUGCAGCUUGGAGAACUGGUACUAUAGGAUACUGAUCUUGCUGACCGGGAACCUCAAGAACGCGGCAGUUGCGGUGGAUGCCCUCUCCAUCUGGUAAGGGCACUCACAAUGCAGACUCUACCAUAGAGUCUAAAGUUAUUUAUUAAUUAUCUCAAACAAUGUGGACUUAGAGUCUAAAUAAGAUUUAGAGUUUUAUUUUUUCUACUUUUUUCUUCAAUAAAUAUGCCGUCACAUCAGCAAAAUACCAUAAAUAAUAUAUAAUUAAUUACCUUGAACUCUGUGAUAAAGUCUUGCAUUGUGAGUACCCUAAAAGCUUUCUCCGUAUGAAUGAGGUUGUUUGAGCACUGCGAAUGCCAAGUAUACACGAGACAGAAUGAUAUACUACACCAAUGACCAUACAGCUUACUAAGGUCUUGUUUAGUUUACCCUAAAAAUUAAAAACUUUUCAAGAUUCUUCGUCACAUCGAAUCUUGCAACACAUGCAUAGAGCAUUAAAUAUAGAUAAAAACAAAACUAAUUACACAAUUUGUCUGUAAAUCGCGAGACAAAUCUUGUAAACCUAGUUACUCCAUAAUUGGAUAAUGUUUGUCAAAUAAAAAUAAAAAUACUACAGUGUCAAAAUCUAAAAAAAUUUGGAUCUAAACAAAGCCUAAUUCCCUUCGAUAUAUGUGCAGCAUGAAUAUCAAUGGAUGGGAGAUGACGAUUCCACUGGCAUUUUUUGCCGGCACCGGGUAUAUUCUCUAUCCACACACACAUUUCGUAGUACCUAUAUAAAUUAUUUAAUAACUGUAAAAAAAUUCAAACUGCACUGGGUUAAUAAUAUAAUAUAGUGGAGUUUACAUGACUUGUGAGAUGGUACUAGUAGCAGCUAAUUUUAGCCGGGGCAUGCACAUUGGCUAUUCUUGUUUAGGGUGCGGGUGGCCAACGAGCUCGGUGCUGGAAAUGGCAUUGGCGCCAGGUUUGCGGCCAUUGUAUCAUCCACGACCUCACUGGUGAUCGGGCUCUUCUUCUGGGUGCUGAUCAUGGGCCUCCACAGCAAGAUCGCUCUCAUCUUCACCACCAGUGCUGUCGUGCUGGAUGCCGUCGAUAAGCUCUCGCUCUUGCUGGCCUUCACCAUACUCCUCAACAGCGUACAGCCUGUCUUGUCAGGUGAGUGAGAGCUCUCAGCUCCCCUAUAUACUCUUUGCAUUGGGUAGUCGUAGGCCAUUAUCUAUGUUGCGUAGCACACAUAUUAUUGAAACUUCACGAGACUAAUUAAACUCAUGCUAAAAACAAAACAAAACAAAACAAAAGCAAGGAAUUCUCUUGUUUCAGGCCCUGUUGGGAACUGAGGAAUUUUACAGGAUUAAGUUUGUAAUGUAGGAGUAGAAAGCUUUUUUUCAAUGAGAACCUUCCUACUGAAUUCAACAAAACCCAUCAAAAAAUCCUACAACCGCCUGUGUGUGCUCGAUCACUGGGCAAACACUUACGCUGUGCUCCUCAUUUUCAGGUGUGGCUGUUGGGUCAGGAUGGCAGUCGACGGUGGCGUACAUCAACAUCGGCUGCUAUUACAUCAUCGGCAUACCCAUGGGCGUCCUCCUCGGAUGGCUCUUCAACCUUGGCGUGCUGGUACGCAACCGCAUCUCUCGCUCGUGUUGGCCUCGGCCAGAUUCAUGCAUGACCAGCCAGUAUUCUUCUUCUUCUUCUUCUUCAUCAUCAUCUUGAGAAUUUUCUUCUUAAUUUGCAGGGGAUCUGGGCAGGCAUGAUCGGCGGAACCGCAGUGCAGACGCUCAUCCUGGCCAUCAUAACCGUUCGCUGCGACUGGGAAAAACAGGUGAGAACCGCGCUAUAGCUGCUCCUUUUUUUAGCGUGCUAGUAGUAGCUUUUUAAUUGCACGUUGCAAGAUACUACGUUUGAUCUCGAUCUGCUGCUUGUGUGGCGGCGAUGACGAUGUCGUAUGACCAUUGGGGGCGUCGGUGUCGUCGUAUUGCAUUUUGGCAGGCUAUUAUCGCGAGCACGCGCAUGGACAAGUUAUCGCAGGUCCGGUGAUGUCAAUGUUCAGGCAUAUACAUAUGAUCGAGGAGUAACCAAUAUAUGUAAAACCUUCUUUCUGUCUCUUUCCCUACCAAAUCAAGAAUCUGGAUCCCUUGCACGGAAUCAUGUAAAAUAUUGGUACGUAGGCAAUUGGAUCAUAUAUAUAGUACGUACCUGAUCAUAUGACACUUCUGUGUUUAUUCAUUUGUAAUUUAUUACAGGUGCACGUUCUCACUUGUAUUUACGUAUUGAUAUGUACAUAUACAAACUCGUAAAAAGACUUGCAGUUACUUGUCGGCGUCUUCGUUCUGACCCAGUCGGCUUGUGCUGGCUGCAUAUAUUAUUGUGGAAAGACGGUUAGAAGUGAUCUCUGGCUAAAGAUGAGCAACGGGCCAGCCUGGCCCAGGCCUAUGCUAGGCACGGCCCGAUAGGGCACGGGCCUAUAUGGCCCCACGUGCCACCGGGUCGUGCCUGCCUGACAGCCUAGGCAAGACACGCGGGCCGAUUUUCAGGAUGGGCCGGCCCGAAAAGCACGAGACCCAAUAGUAUUUUGGGCCGGCCCAUGGCUCGCUAUAUAAAAAAACCAAAUUUAAUACAGAAUUCAACAAAGCAUAAGUAAAUCACAUUCAAGUCACAGACAUUGAUACUUCACAAUUCACAUAACACAAUAUACUCAAAGAUCAUAUUUCAAGUUUCACAAGUUCCUUGAUACCGAACCGAUAUCGUGCCUACUGUUAAAAGUGGGCCGGGCCAAGCCGCCCAGCGGGCCGAGGGGUCGACCCACGCACGGCCCGCUACGUGCUUCGGGCCGGCACGGGCACGGCUGGGAUCGAGUCGUGCCGUGCUCGGGCGGGGCCAAAUCACCGUGCUUUGGACCAUGCCUUGACCCGCGGGCUGCAUGCUCAACUUUAUCUCUAGCGCAUAGAUGGAAUAGCCUUUGUAAGUCUCCCCAUGCACUAGGUUUUCCUAAUCAUCUAGUGGUCCUGGCCUCAGGUGGUCCAACAAAGCUAAAGAGGGAUGGUUGUCAGCUACUCAUUAAUUAUCAUGAGUUAGUUGACCAUCCCUCAAUUCUCAAUUCCACUCAGUCUAAAACUGUCCAAAGCGUCGGCACCGAAGUAGCGGUGCUGAAAACCUAUUUGUAUCUGGUGCUUGUCAGAAUGACAUAAUGAAGUGCGUGCGUGCGACAGAGAUGCAAGUGAGGACCAACUGCCGGAUAAAAAUGUUUUCUAUUUUCCAAGCAUCAGGAAGGAACAUGCCAUUGUACCAACUUUUUUCAACUCAACAUCACCCACAAUAACGGGCACCGGUGCUCAAACUUCUCUCUCUUUUCAGCACCGCAAAAAGGAUACAUUGUGGUCAAUCUAAGGGUGGUGGAUCCGCUUGAAGGUCAGCUGGUUGAGUUCCUUAUGGUGGAACCUGUCCACUCGGGUUCAAGUUCUCGAUUUGGCACGGGUGUUCGCAUUUCCCUGAAUUUAUUCUAGGAUUUAAUAGCGCUAUACUUUCAGUAGUAGGCGACGUCUUCGUCGACAUCAAGGCGCCUCUGGUGACUUUUGUGAAUCUUAAGAUCCGUCCGCUCAGUCUAUAAGAGGUGCUCACAAGGAUAGAGUUUUGCGUACAUGUAUUCAUAGGGGUAAGUAUACGUGUGUUGUAAAUAUCUACGUUAUAUUGUGUAAUUUAAAAAAACAAUAACAGAUAGUGCUUAUGCACUAGGCGAGUGCACUUGUGGCAUUAACAUAUCACAACCUACUUCAUCGAUGUCGGACUACCUGACUUCUAAGUUAUGGUCGGUGAUCCUAAUACAUAUUAGAUUAAUUAGCAUUCAUGUAAUUAGAUUAGUUAUCUAUGGUUCAACCUCCCUACUUGUCGACAAGAUAAUUGUUGUAAUAGUAGCAAUUAGGUGUUUUGGUUGCUCGAAUUGCUUCGUUGUUCUGUUUCUUUGUUAGCAACUCACUGAAUAACAAACUACUCUAACACUAAUUAACUCAGGCAAGCAACAAUAUUGAUAAUCCGAUACAAAUAAGAGAUACUGAGAUAGAAUGUGGGAGAGGAAGCACAACAGGGGAAUUGGAAACAGAAAAGGCACAACUAGGGUCUAAGAUAUAAGAUACUAUAAUUACAAGAUUCGGGUUCAAGGAGAGAGGGAGCCAUGGAGGAAGAAGAAAGAAUAGUAGUGUGUAGUGAUAUGCAGAUUAUGCUUCUCUCUGGAUAUUCGAUGUCUCACGCUGCUGCCCAUUUUACCCAGAGAAGAGUCUAUGAGUGACCCUUUCAAAUAAAAAAGAGUUUUGAGUGAUGAGCUACUGUUGACUUGCUGAGGCUUAUGGCCUAAGAGUUGGCACCUCAACAUUCGUCAUGAACUAUGGAGAAGAUUAGACAAGCUGCAUAUUAAGGGUCAGUUUAAUACUAGAGUCUUGCUCCUAACUUCUUUGAAGCGGAUUCUAUGGAUCUCUAUCAAGACGCUUAAAAUAUACUCCCUCCGUCCCCAAAUACUGCUAUUUCUAACAGAUUUUAAAUAGAUUAGUGUGGCAAACAAAAGACUAUUCUACCCUCAAUUAAUUUGGGUUCCACCAUUUAAUCAUGCACGUUAAACCAUGGUUCUCUAGUUUCAACGAGCUGCAUUUAAUACCAACUAAACAGACUCAACCAAUUAUCAUGCGCCAAAGUACUACUCCCUAGAAGAAAUUAAAUGGACUGGUGGACCAUGGAAGUUCCGAGAAGAAUUAAAUAGGCUGGUGGACUGAGUAUGCUAGUAGAAAUAGCAGUAUUUGUGGACAAAAUUUUCUCCUAGAAAUAGCAGUAUUUAGGGACGGAGGGAGUAACUGGAUUUUGAUAAGAGCUAACGAGAAUCACUUCUCCAUUUGUACUACAAGCUGAGAGCUAAAACAACCAUUUUCCACCAAUCCAUAUAGCUCCCAUUCAAUCAUCACUAUAAUUACUUUACAAUCAAUUCUUACCUGCUCUCCAUUUUGCUCCCCCACCAAAAUCAUUUCAUUGAAAAAUUAAGAAAUAAAGAUAAGAAUGAAAAAGAAGAGCUCCGCCAAACUACGCAUGGGGUGUGGGAUGUAGUCCUGGAGACUGAUGACGAUGAAUCAAUUCGAAGAAAAAGGUAUUUUAAUUUUAAUCUCUUUGAUUGCAAAAGAUAAAGAAAUCUAAAGAAAAAAUAGAGAAAACUCCAAAUGAAAGAGGUCACCUAGGCCUAGAGUUAUUUUGUA
rnacentral:lncRNA from 1 species